AGGUUCCAUGGUUGCUAUGGAAACGAGGUAACCCGGUAACCAGGAAACGAACCCUGAUUUUACGACAAUUCAGUCGAGGACGAAGAUGUGUUUAUUAAUUUUAGGCUGUCAUAGUCCAGUGGAGGGUCAAGGACAGGACACGGACCCUUGGCUCUCUGCUUUGAGCGCCAACCCUCCAGAGCCUUCGCCCUUAUCACAACACGACCAUGCAGCUACUUCGGUGACACACGUGUGUGUGGGCAGAAAACGCUUUGAAAACAGUCACACCCCGCAGAGAUGAUCAAAGAAGCAGGGAUCCAUCUUGACACAACACCCUCUCAUCUAGCCUCUAAAGGCAGCUCACAUUGAAUGGACAGAUUAAAAAAACAUUGCUGCCACGUUAGAUACAGACCAGCACUCACACUUAGCCUGAUGAUUGCACACGAGUGUUUUUGGCUGUUGCAUCUGGCUCCGCGGAUGAUGGAAGUUGUUGUACGUAUCCACCCGCAUUUUUCCUGGCUGUCAAAAAUUGCAU